GACGGAGGAGGCAAGCGUUAUCCGGAAUUAUUGGGCGUAAAGCGUCCGCAGGUGGCCUAUCAAGUCUGCUGUUAAAGCCCAGGGCUCAACCCUGGAUCAGCAGUGGAAACUGAUAAGCUUAGAGUGCGGUAGGGGUAGAGGGAAUUCCCGGUGUAGCGGUGAAAUGCGUAGAGAUCGGGAAGAACACCAGUGGCGAAAGCGCUCUACUGGACCGCAACUGACACUCAUGGACGAAAGCUAGGGGAGCGAAUGGGAUUAGAUACCCCAGUAGUCCUAGCCGUAAACGAUGGACACUAGGUGUUGCGCGUAUCGACCCGUGCAGUGCCGGAGCCAACGCGUUAAGUGUCCCGCCUGGGGAGU
rnacentral:rRNA from 1 species